rnacentral:rRNA from 1 species
GUAAUCUACCUUUGGAUGGGGAAUAACCSCGGAAACGGUGGCUAAUACCGCAUAAUGCAGCGGCACCUAAUGGUGACAGUUGUUAAAGCGGSGGAUCGUAAGACCUCGCGUCUAAAGAGGAGCCUGCGGCAGAUUAGCUAGYYGGUAAGGUAAUGGCUUACCAAGGCGAUGAUCUGUAGCCGGCCUGAGAGGGCGGUCGGCCACACUGACACUGACAUACGGGUCAGACUCCUACGGGAGGCAGCAGUCGGGAAUUUUGGGCAAUGGGCGAAAGCCUGACCCAGCAACGCCGCGUGAAGGAUGAAAUCCUUCGGGAUGUAAACUUCGCAAGAACGGGAAGAAUAAGUAAGGGUUAAUAUCUCUUACGAUGACGGUACUGUUUGUAAGCCCCGGCUAACUCCGUGCCAGCAGCCGCGGUAAUACGGGGGGAGCAAGCGUUGUUCGGAUUUACUGGGCGUAAUGGGCGCGUAAGCGGCCACCGCAAGUCAGUUGUGAAAUCUCUGGGCUUAACCCAGAAAGGUCAACUGAUACUGCGGGGCUAGAGUGCAGAAGGGGCAACUGGAAUUCUCGGUGUAGCGGUGAAAUGCGUANAUAUCGAGAGGAACACCUGC